rnacentral:lncRNA from 7 species
ACUGCUGUUUCAUGAACUAGGCAGAAGGGAAAGGAGGCCAAAGGGCACAAAUCACUCCAUGAAGUGUGCCGAGAUGGGCAAAGUGUGCCUUCUGUGAGAUGGCAUUUCUGAUCAGGAGCACAAAGCCUUCACAGCUGCUGGAGGCAUUACUUGCUGCAAACAGCAGAGAGACAUGACAGGUACUGCCGGACACAUAAUAAGCAGGCAUGAGCACUAUUGUUAAUCCAAUUCCAUCAAAGAUAGGACUCAUCACAGAAUCUCAUUUGGAGUCCAUAGCAGCAGCCCCGAUAUUGCUAGGGCAUACGUUUCAUCUCAAUAAACAUACCACUCAGUACAGCCUUCAGCCCUCGGCUGUGCAUUUGCAGUCUCCUCCUCGUCUCCCGGGUGCUGCAGCUAUGAUCUGUCCACCCCAGUUUACCCCAGCCAAGGAUCUUUCCCGCUGCUUAUUAGAGCCUGGCUGCCAGCAUUUAUUUCCCCACUUAAAUGAUCUGCAAUAAGGAGGAGGCUGGUAACAACCUUAAGGAGCAUAUGUAAAAAUGCACUUAUCUUCCAACGCAGCUUCCAAGGCUGCAGGUGCUGGGUGGCUCCUGUGCACAUCAGGGCUGUACACCGAGUUUCAGCCCUCAGACGUUUUCUAUUUAUCAUGAUUCCCAGAUGCAGUACCAGUGAACGUCCCAGCACUCCUCCCCGCUUCUGUGGCAUGCCAGCAACUCUGUCUCCAAAGAUCUGCAAAACGCUUCCGCCUGAGUCACAGAUGGAUGACCACUCUGUCACCUUGGGGAGGUGCUGAGCUGCCCAGUGUCAUUUGCUGAGGUACAGCAAGCUUCAAGCAAGACACAAAUUCCCAUCAGUUAUCCAGCUGCUGUAGAGGCACAGAACCUCUCUCCAGCUCCCUUCUGGUCUGCAUGGUGGCUAUCCACAGCAUGAGGAGCUGCUCACCUGCAGGAGUGGAAAGAGGACAUGGCAUCAGAGAGAACCAAGGCCCACCUCACCAUGACAAGGCAGCUGUCGGCAUUUGCUGGCCUUCAGAUUGUGUGGUGACUCUCAGACCUGUUACAGGUUCGAUGCCUUUCAGCUGUAUGGAUCAGCCCCUGCAUGCUGUUGCAGAGGAGAUGACCGUGAGUUCAUAAAGACACACUGUGAAAUGCAGAGGCUGGUCUUGUCGACACCUGUCCUUCCAAACCCUCACUCCCACUGUGCUUUUUCUGGGCAUACUUAAAAUUCCCUUUCAUGUCAUUGGCUAUUUCCCCCUCCUCCCUCCCACAGGUUAGGUUAAAAGGGGCAGGAGGUCCUUUUCCGUAUUGAUUUGUUUUCCUGACCUUUCAGAUUCACGCAGAGAAGAUCAGCAAAAUGGCACUGGAAAAGGAGCAGAACAAAAGCGCAGUGCUUGCUCUCAUUUAAAGAAGUAAGACAAACAUGAGACUUAGCAUUGAGCAGAAAAUAAACUGCCCACAGAGGAAAAGAAAGAAGCUGCCCCGGCAGAGAAGGGACUGCAACACCAGCAGAGCAAUCUGUCAACACGCAGUCAGCCUGCAAAACAGCAGCCGGGAGCUCUGCGUUUUUUUCCUCCUCUUCCCUUUUUUUUUUUUUUUCUCCUUAAACAAAAUCUAAUUUAAAUGGGUAAAUCCUAUUUCAAAAUAAAAGGAAAUCAGAUAAAUUACUCCUAAUCCACAACACGCACACCCUGCUAUUAGCUGCUCCCACCACGGCGCAUUGUGUGCGGUGCCGCUAUGAGCGCGGUGGGUUGGGUCAGACAGAAAGUGGACGCCCAGGUUGCUGGAGCUCCCCUGACAUGUCCUCCUGAGCGCGUCGUGGUGGUGCAACCAAACUCUAAACUGGUCAAUAACAUCUUUUUCUUGCUUAACUCCACCCACGUAUUCAGUAAGGUUUGAUAUUCAUCUUCCCUGCCUGCCGUGUCUCAUUGUGCUGCUUUGCCUCGCUGUAUUCCAUGGGAAAAGCCAUACACUGACUAUUACAGAGCUUUUACCAACCUCACAGGGACAUGGUGAGGAUUAAUUAAUUGCUUAUUCAGAGCUUUUACAUCCCGUGAUUAAAAAUAGCAUAAUCACAAUGAAAACAGAUUACAUCAUUAUCAGAAUCAGUUAUUAAAACCUGCAGU